CCUACGGGGGGCUGCAGUGAGGAAUAUUGGUCAAUGGACGAGAGUCUGAACCAGCCAAGUAGCGUGAAGGAUGACUGCCCUAUGGGUUGUAAACUUCUUUUAUAAAGGAAUAAAACGAGGCACGUGUGCCUUUUUGCAUGUAAUUUAUGAAUAAGGAUCGGCUAACUCCGGGCCAGCAGCAGCGGUAAUACGGAGGAUCCGAGCGUUAUCCGGAUUUAUUGGGUUUAAAGGGAGCGUAGAUGGGUUGUUAAGUCAGUUGGGAAAGUUUGCGGCUCAACCGUAAAAUUGCAAUUGAUACUGGCAGUCUUGAGUACAGUUGAGGUAGGCGGAAUUCGUGGUGUAGCGGUGAAAUGCUUAGAUAUCACGAAGAACCCCGAUUGCGAAGGCAGCUUACUAAACUGUGACUGACAUUGAUGCUCGAAAGUGUGGGUAGCAAACAGGAUUAGAUACCCUGGUAGUC
rnacentral:rRNA from 1 species